rnacentral:rRNA from 1 species
CGUAGGUCCCCGAGCGUUGUCCGGAUUUAUUGGGGCGUAAAAGCGAGCGCAGGCGGUUUGAUAAGUCUGAAGUUAAAAGGCUGUGGCUCAACCAUAGUUCGCUUUGGAAACUGUCAAAACUUGAGUGCAGAAGGGGAGAGUGGAAUUCCAUGUGUAGCGGUGAAAUGCGUAGAUAUAUGGAGGAACACCGGUGGCGAAAAGCGGCUCUCUGGUCUGUAACUGACGCUGAGGCUCGAAAGCGUGGGGGAGCGAACAGGAUU